rnacentral:lncRNA from 1 species
GGUGUUCCUGGUUUGGGAAGUAUAAAUCCCGUGGGAAGCCAACUGGAGGACAUUUUAUGCAUCACUCAUCCUAUUAUGAGCCUGCUGCUCUUCUGUCUCUUGACAAGG